rnacentral:rRNA from 1 species
UACGUAGGGGGCAAGCGUUGGUUCGGAAUUACUGGGCGUAAAGCGUGCGCAGGCGGUUCGUCGUGUCCGAUGUGAAAGCCCCGGGCUCAACCUGGGAAUGGCAUUGGAAACUGGCGGGCUUGAGUGUGGCAGAGGGGGGUGGAAUUCCGGCGUGUAGCAGUGAAAUGCGUAGAGAUGCGGAGGAACACCGAUGGCGAAGGCAGCCCCCUGGGCUAACACUGACGCUCAGGCACGAAAGCGUGGGGAGCAAACAGG